CCAUGAGUGUUCUCACAAUGAAGAGGUUCAGAUGUCUGAUCCUCUUCAUCAACCCAGCGCCCCAGCUUCAUCAAUUAAUAACCCACGCCCUCUCUCUCUCCACUCCCAUGUAAACCCACGCACUUCAUCAACCCGGAGCUCGAUCCCCUUCAUCGCACGCCCCAGCUUCAUCAACCCGGUGCUCGAUCGAGGCGAAAAACUGCGAUUUUCUUAUUUCGGAGAUCGAGUGAGAGCGAACGAUCAAGCGAAGUAGAGAGAGAGAGAGAGAGAGUUCGAUUUUUUGAUCUGCGUCCAAAUGUCACGAAGCCAUUCGAAUCGAGGGUGAUUCCACAGUGAUUCGACGAUCUAAUAGGGCCACGAAAUGUUCUUCAUCUCCCUCGCCCUCUCUUCGAUCUGUUGCUGCGAUCAAAUUUCGAAGAUCUGAGCGAUUUCGAAGUGAUUGAGCCGAUCGAGUUAAACUGCGAUUUUCCUAUUUGAUCGCGUGGAUUUGAUCGCACUGCUCCAAAGCUUCCUUAGGUGGUCCUCUUCACAAAUCCAAGCUCAAUCCCAAACUGCGGCACAUCGCUCCUCUUCCUCUGCUGCUUCUUGUGCUUGUUUUCGGCAAAAUUAAGCUCCAAUUCGGACGACGGAUCAAGAGAGAUCACCAUCGAUACUGAAAAAUAUAGGAAUCUCCGGUUUAUGAAUAAUAUACAGUUGAAUUGUUUGCUACGUAGCUUGAUGAAGAUUGGCUGCAGCUUUGGGUUUGAUCUGAAUGUUUGAAGAGAAUUGUAAUUGUUUACAGUGCCCUGGUGUUGGAAAUGAAUUGCUGUUGAAAUAGGAGUUGAAGCAUUUUUUUUUCGUUUUUAAUUAUUUUCUAUUUUCAAAGUUGCAUGAGAGGUUCAGGAAUGAUGUUGAACUGUAUAUCGAAUAUUAUUACUCUAUUGCUUUUAAAUUGAUUUUGCUAUUAUUUUGUUUUUAA